GUCAAUGGUCAUCAAUACGAAUAUUGAUAUUGUCCAAGUAAAUGGACUAUUAGAAAGCUGAACUUUUAUUAUAUUAACGUAAGCAACAUCAAUAGCGUAGAUAAUUAUCACACUAUGUAGACGGCUUACAAAAAGUUCCGCUAAUACUUUUAAGGAGAGCCGACUAUUGAAAAGCCUGCAACCCCCAAAUCCAAGCCCAACUUCAAAGUUAAAUAAAAACUUUGAAAGGGUUGAGAAUUUAAUGACACUCAAACAAGCAUGCUCCUCGGAAUACCAAGGAGCGCAAGGUGCGUUCAAAGAUUCGAUGAUUCACUGAAUUCUGCAAUUCACAUUACUUAUCGCAUUUCGCUGCGUUCUUCAUCGAUGCGAGAGCCAAGAGAUCCGUUGCUGAAAGUUGUAUUUGUUUUAUAGGCAAUAAAGCCCAUUGAUUACAUUCUUAACAUACAUUUGGGGUAUAUGAAAA
rnacentral:misc_RNA from 1 species